rnacentral:rRNA from 1 species
GAUCCUGGCUCAGGACGAACGCUGGCGGCGUUCCUAACACAUGCAAGUCGAACGGAACUGUUUUGAAAGAUUUCUUCGGAGUGAAUUUGAUUUAGUUUAGUGGCGGACGGGUGAGUAACGCGUGAGUAACCUGUCUUCAAGAGGGGGAUAACAUUCUGAAAAGAAUGCUAAUACCGCAUGAUAUAUCGGAACCACAUGGUUCUGAUAUCAAAGAUUUUAUCGCUUGAAGAUGGACUCGCGUCCGAUUAG